rnacentral:sRNA from 1 species
UAGAUCCCGGGCGAUUACGUCAUUUCU